GAAAUGCGAUAAGUAGUGUGAAUUGCAGAAUUUAGCGAAUCAUCGAAUCUUUGAACGCAUAUUGCGCCCCUUGGUAUUCCAUGGGGCAUGCCUGUUCGAGCGUCAUUUCAACCCUCAAGCACUGCUUGGUGUUGGGCGUUUGUCCCGCCUACGCGCGUGGACUCGCCUCAAAGUCAUUGGCAGCUGUUCCCCUUCGGCUCGUAAGCGCAGCACAGUCGGCGCCCGGAGCUCUGGUGGGAUGGCGUCCAGCGAGCUAUAUUUUCAGGCUUGACCUCGGAUCAGGUAGGGAUACCCGCUGAACUUAAGC
rnacentral:misc_RNA from 1 species